CGGUUGAUCCUGCCGGACCCGACUGCUAUCGGGCUGGGACUAAGACAUGCAAGUCGUGCGUCGGCGCCAUGCCCGCCGACGCGGCGGACGGCUCCGUAACACGUCCCCAACCGAACCUCGGGACCGGGACACCCUCGGGAAACUGAGGGUAAUCCCGGAUAGAGGUGGGCUGGUGGAAAACCCCCACCUCGAAAAGGGGCCCGAGGCAAUGGUCGGGCACCCGCCCGAGGACGGGGGGGCGGCCCAUCAGGUAGUAGGUGGGGUAACGGCCCACCUAGCCUAUGACGGGUACGGGCGCUGGGAGGCGGAGCCCGGAGAGGGGCACUGAGACAAGGGCCUCAGCCCCACGGGGUGCAGCAGUCGCGAAACCUCCGCAAUGCGCGCAAGCGCGACGGGGUCAGCCCGAGUGCCACCCGAGAGGGUGGCUGUGGCCCGCCGUAAAAAAGCGGGCUUAGAAAGCGGAGGGCAAGGCUGGUGCCAGCCGCCGCGGUAAAACCAGCUCCGCGAGUGGUCGGGGCGAUUGCUGGGCCUAAAGGGUCCGUAGGCGGCCCCGCAAGUCCGCGGCUAAAUCCCGGGUCUCAAGCUCGGGACUGCUGCGGAUACUGCGGGGCUAGGGACCGGGAGAGGCCGGGGGUACCUCCGGGGUAGGGGCGAAAU
rnacentral:rRNA from 1 species